CCUUGCCAGCCCGCUCAGAAACUCAAAGGAAUUGACGGGGCCCGCACAAGCGGAGGAGCAUGUGGUUUAAUUCGAUGAUACGCGAGGAACCUUACCUGGGCUCGAACGUAAGAUGACUGUAGGUGAAAGCUUACAUCUCUUCGGAGCAUUUUACGAGGUGCUGCAUGGUUGUCGUCAGCUCGUGCCGUGAGGUGUCGGGUUAAGUCCCAUAACGAGCGCAACCCCUACCUUUAGUUGCCAUCAGGUUAAGCUGGGGACUCUAAAGGAACUGCCUACGCAAGUAGUGAGGAAGGCGGGGAUGACGUCAAAUCAGCACGGCCCUUACGUCCAGGGCUACACACGCGCUACAAUGGCCGAUACAGAGGGCAGCUACCUGGUGACAGGAUGCAAAUCUCCAAAGUCGGUCUCAGUUCGGAUCGGAGUCUGCAACCCGACUCCGUGAAGUUGGAUUCGCUAGUAAUCGCGCAUCAGCCAUGGCGCGGUGAAUACGUUCCCGGGCCUU
rnacentral:rRNA from 1 species